rfam:Gossypium raimondii chromosome 11, whole genome shotgun sequence.
AUCCCAUGAUGAGGACACUUACGAAGUAACUCCUUGAAUCGCUCCCAAGCCCCAUACAAAGACUCAUCAUCCAAUUGUUGAAAAGUUAUGAUCUCGUUACUUAACUU